rnacentral:lncRNA from 1 species
GGUAGCUAAAGAACUGGCUUGCAGCAUCAUUUUUCAUGAAUGAUUGCUCAGUCAGUGCAUGUAAAUCAAGGUGGUUUCUGUCAGUUACAAAGGCUUGAGACAGGGCCAUGAUAUUGAGUAUUUUGUAAUUGCUAGACUGGCCUCUUAUAAUAUUUCUGGCAUUCAUCUGCUUGGCUGAAGGGAUCGUAGGCUCCGCACACGGACAAGACUAACAGGUGGAGCGAGCCAAGGUGUUUUUCCGAAAUGCCAGUGAUGUGCAGCAGAGUGCACAAUGGCAUCGACCUUCAGAGCUGUAACAUACAAAAAAUCUGUUUCUAUACUUGUG